UUUCCAGAAAAAUUCAGCCCCUCUCCCUUCCUUUCUACAUAAUUAAAUUGAGGGAUUUCAUGGCAAAUUGAAGGAAAAAGAUGGAGGUCACAAUAGCCAUGGCAACUCACGGCCAUGGCUGCACUUGAAGAGGUCACAUGCUUCCUUUAAGAGUUUUGCUUCUAAGAUUUUGGAGAGUUUGGGACUUGAAUUUGGAGUAGCGUAAGAAGCGGAAAAGGUACUCCCAGGUAAGUUGAAGACAGUAUAGAAGAUGUUCCAGUGCAGAUGGCAAGCUCCAUUUGUUCCCGUAGUGCUGCCGAGUCAGAGUUGGUAUGUUAUGCUUUCUGGAUUACGUUAGAGACUUUGCAGACAGCGUCGUGGGUAUUGGUUGUCAGUCUGUAAGUGGCUCCGUCAGCCGAAAUGUCGGUCUGUGUUAUGUACUGAAUUUUGUAUGAUUAUAGAUUUGUUAUGCUUGGAAGCUACGUGGAAGAAUAUUUCUGAAAAAAAAUUUACGAUGUAUUUCAUCUCAUUUGAUUUGAAAAGUUUGACGUGAUUUUAUGUGCAGCAAGAGUCUGAGGGUUCGCUCGGCCCUAGGUAAGGGUCGGGUGCCCAUCACACCCUAGCGGAAUUAGGGUGUGACAACAACUGGUGCAAUCAUUCUCUUAUAUUUCUAUAAUGACGCUAAAUUAAGAGUAUCCAACAAUCACAUAUGUAAUGAA